UUGGAGAAUCCAGCUGAAUUACUUCAGAAGGAAGGGUUUUCUAGUUCCUUGUUCUGCCUAACAGAUGGCAGGUUUGCACUUGAGAAACAUUUGCUGCCAUGAUGAAAUAGUAUCUUUUUGUAGUUCCUGUCUCAUGACUUUUAAGGAAUGUUGACAUGAUGUACCAGUUCACCAUAGAAAAACCUGGGAACUCAUGAUGAAAUUAUGCCUGGUCCUAAUCCUUGGGAGGAAAUUUUUCAGGAAUUAAAAUGAAGUAGUAAUGAUACUUUCUUCCCAUCUCUGCAAGAUUGUUGAGAGAUUGCUUAGUCAUUUCUCAGCUAUAAACUUCCAGAAGUAAAGGACAGCAGAGGUUGCAUCUUUGGCAAGUCCUUUACUUACUCAAACAAACUUGGUGUGGGAAGUAGUCACCACUGGAGCCUCGUGCCUUUUUGUACAGGAGUGAUGGAUGUCAGUAGACUGGUAAAGCAAGCUCCUUCCUUGACAUUCAGAUCAGGAAAGUCUGAAACUGAGAGAGUGGGGUAUUCAGACACUAUCUUAGUCCAUUUCUGCUGGUAUGUAAAAAUACCUGAGACUCGAUGGUUUAUAAAUAACAGACAUUUUUUUUCACAGUUCUGGACACUGGAAAUCCAAGAUAAAGAUGCUGGCAAGUUAGGUGUCGGAAAACAAGGAAGUGAAUUGCACUGGGUAGAAGGAGGCCAUGGCCAAAGCUGAUGGAGAUGGGAGGAAGAAAAUAGAAAGCAGCAAAUGGAUCCAGAUCAGAGACAUCCAUAUCACUGCAAUAAUAUGGAAGUCAAGGGAGACAAAAAUUCCAAAGAAACAGGAUGAUAAUUUCAUCUACAGGGUCCAAGAUGGCCCAGCAAUGUCCCAGCCACAUUCUUUCCACAGGAAGCCAGGUAAGGGAAAGGAAUACUCUUUCCUUUUAAAUGUGUAGCCCAGAAGUUGCAUAAUGAUUUCAGAUCAUAUUCCACUAGGGAGAACUUCCCGUAUGUCCUUAACUUCCUAUGGGGGGAAGCUGGCAAC